rnacentral:misc_RNA from 1 species
UCCGUAUUAUCUACGGCAGUCUAUCUAGAGUGCCCAGCUUAACCUGAUGGCAACUAAAUAUAGGGGUUGCGCUCGUUGCGGGACUUAACCCAACAUCUCACGACACGAGCUGACGACAACCAUGCACCACCUGUCUGCUUGUCCCCGAAGGGAACGUCCAAUCUCUUGGAUUGUCAAGCGAUGUCAAGACCUGGUAAGGUUCUUCGCGUUGCUUCGAAUUAAACCACAUGCUCCGCUGCUUGUGCGGGCCCCCGUCAAUUCCUUUGAGUUUCAGUCUUGCGACCGUACUCCCCAGGCGGAGUGCUUAUUGUGUUAACUGCGGCACUGGGUCUCCCCAACACCUAGCACUCAUCGUUUACGGCGUGGACUAC